GCAAUGACAAAGAUCCUCUCUCAAUGGUUUUCGGAUCGAGCUUAUCGCGCGCCUACUUACCAUAAACUGUUCUCCCAAACUUCCCCCAAUGCCUUUCGAGUUGAGCCAAUGCUAUGACAAAAAUUAGAGAUUAUAGCGUUCACAAAUUAUCAUGGUGUUAAAAGAAAAAGAAAAAAAAAACAGAAGAGGCGUAGUGUAUUUGCUUUUUUGUCUCGUAUACUUAUGCCGUUGGUCGUCGUAGUUGACAAUGAAAAGAGUUGAGAUUUUCAAUUGACACAAAUGCCAUGAACCUCUCUCUACAGUAAACAUCUCUCUCUCCCUCCAUCCCAAAACGAUGUCGUCACUAUCUCUUCAUUUCUCGCCGACUCUCCUCCUCCCGUCCCCGUCCCCGUCGCCGCCGUCUCCUCCAUUGAACAAACUCCACCGUCCGAUCAAAAUCUCCAAUUCAUCCUUACCGUCAUCUUUAUACUCAUUCAGGGACCUUCUCCACUCGAAGCUCUCGAUGAAUUCGUCCACUAAGGCCGAGCUUCUAUUGAUGACUUGCAAACUCUCCUCCGUAUUGAUAGCAAUGACGGCUGACUUCUCUUCUCCUGCAGAAGGUCCACUGUUAAAUUCGUAGGAACUCUAUUACUUACCAGUUUUGUAGUUAUUUUCACUCUUAGAACUAUUUUUAAGCUGGUGCUGGGGAAACAAAAAUCUCGAAUUAGUGUAUAGAAGAGACCGUAGUUUGGGUGGAAGAGAAGUACUUGUUGCUAAAAAUAAGAUCACGAUUGAUAGGAAGAAACCAAAUGUGUUGGAUGGUGAUGACGUAAAUAGUAAUUGGGGUUGGGCUAGGAGGCGAAAGAAGAAGAAUCCGGUGGAGCAGUUGCCAAAAUGGUGGCCUGUUUCGAGUUCUGGUUCGGAUCAAGAAGAGUAUCAGAGAAUGGCAAAUAGAUUGAUUCUGAGUUUACAAAUUUGCUUUCCAGCCAUCUUGGACAAUAGAAUGACGGGGAGAGACAUUUUGGGGAUGACAUUAUUCAAGUCAGUAUGUUAAUGGCUUCUCUGUUUUCAGUAUGUUAAUGGCUUCUCUGUUUUUACUAUCUUUAUUUUUAUACAAGUGUGAAUUGUUUGCAUUCUUGUUUAGUUCUUUGCUUUUGUUUACAGUCCCCUUUAUAUUUAAAGAAUUUGUCACUAGACCAUUUUGCUCCAAGAAGCCCCUUGAACUCGCAAAUCUGCAACUUUAUAUAUACAUAAAUAUAUGGGAAUGUGAGCUCCAUUUCAUGAAAGGAAAUUUUAAGAAUGAAGGAACCACAUUAUCAAAGUCUAUUAACAAUGUCACAGUAAACGCAACCUUUCUGGUUCCUCCCUUUUAUUUUCCUUUUGAACUUUUUGUUGUAGGAGAAAUCAGCAGAUAUAGUUUGUGUAUACAUAAUAGAAUGUCAUAUUAUGAUGGACUCCAUGGUUGUCGUUUUUCUAAUCAAGUAAAAGAUUUCAUUCAUAAUGAUCAGGCAACUCCAUGGUUGUAAUGAUGGCAAGAAAUAGUAGAAAUUAAAAUGUUGGUGUAAAGCUAAUAGGCAUAAGAAAAAAAACAAAAAUUCAUUUGUCCCAGACUAGUUAGGGUCUAUAAAUGAAAGUACGUUUACCUGAUCCAAAAAAAAAAAGUUUUCCUCCACAUCAAACACACCCUUAAGCUCAAGUCAUGUCAUUAUCAUACCAAACAAAGUAAAUUAAAUAGUUAUAAAUAAUAGUAAUACUAAUAAUAUUACAAGUUCCUAACAAGACUAGAGAACUUGUUCCCAACUAGUAGAUAUCACCUAUGUAGACAUUUUUCUCCAUUGUGUACUUAUCUUAACCGAGUCUGAUUAAUCGUUUUUUCGUGACAACUUCCCUCCAUGUGGUUUUAGGUCUAUCCAUCCUGUUUUGACACUUUCAUUCAACAUGGUUUCUCACCUACGGACUGGUCCAUCUUUAGAUUGUUGCAGGACAUGACCAAACCAUCUUUAAGGGCCUUUCCACAUUUAUCCUCAAUGCAUGCAACUUGCACAUCUUGGUCGAUGUGGUUAUUUUGAAUCUUAUUUAAUCUUGCAUGACCGCACAUCCAUCUUAGCAUUUGCAAUGCUCAUCUUGGAGAUACGUUGGACUUAAGCAGCCCCACAUUCACUAUCAUAUUAACGUUGUCAGUUGUCAGUUGCCAGUUGCAUUGCUGUUAUGUAAAGCUUACUUUUCACUGUGGUAGCCAUCCUUCUAUCACGUAACACUUUAGUAGCACAUCUCUAUUUCAACCAUUUGAGUUUAACUGCAUAAGGAGCAUCUUCAUCUAUCAUUUCAUUUUCUUGAAAAAUGAGCCUUUAUAUCGGAACUGUUUGCAAUGCACGUAUUCUGUCUAACCUCUACUUAUCGUAAAACCCUUACUUGCUAAGGUGGUUCAUGAUAAUUCAUGCUUUUGGUCGAGACCAUCGCUAAAUUCGUCUAUUAACACAAUACCAUUAUCAAAGAACAUGCGCUACCAGGCCUCAUCUUCUGUCUUGUUGGUUAGCUCAUACAUAACUAGGGUAAACAAAUAGGGGCUCAAUGCCUAUCGGCCCUAUCCAUGGUGUAGAUCCAUUGUUGUGGGAUACUACCUGUCUCAUGCUAAUGAUAGCUUCUUCAUACAUGUCCUUUAUGACGUUUAUAUAUUUAAUAUCAUAUGUUUUCUCUAGAUCAAUGGACACCGCAUAUAGAUCUUUCUUCCUUUUGUGAUAAAUUUACAUCAUAAGGAAUUUUCUUAAUAAGUGCAUUGGGAUUUUUUUUUUUUCGAGAAUGAGGUAUCCCCAAGGGAUAGUGGGAGAGUGGAGCUGGUGGAAGCAGCCAGUGGAUUCAUUUUCUUUUCAGAGAACAUAGAUCUUUAAACUGGAGUGGUUUCGGUUUAGUCUGUCAAUUGAAAGAUUUAACAAGUCAAAAUAGUGAUCUAGUAACCAUGCUACUUUCUGUUGCAGUGUGGUAGGGCAACCAGGAAAGCAUGAGGGGUAUGGUUUAUUUUACCUGUAUAAUGUUGUCCUUGCCAAUUUUUGAACCUUGAAAUUUUACCUUUUUUAUGUGGAAGGCAGUGUGAUACAGCAAUCCAGAAAAGGCAUGAGUGCGUUUGUGUGUGUGUAUAUGUGAAUGCUUUACCUGUAUAAAGUUGUCUUUACAGAUCUUUCAAACAACUUUGGUGGAACUACAUGCUAGAUAACCUCUUUAUUUUGCAUGAUACCGUCUCAGUUCCUCUUUAUUUUACUGCAUCAAUUGGUGUUAUAUGUGCAAGCGAACUGGGAUGUGGAUCAUAUUCUUCUUCGUUAUGGUCUUACCAAGAGGCUUCGGUGGGAUAUGCUUGUGUGGUUUGGUACUUCUGGGCUAUGCCAAGCUUAUUAAUUCGGAAGAGGAGAAGACACAGCGCUUGGAAACGUGAUUCCACUCCCGUUAAUGCGUGUGCAGUGGAGAGGGAAAUAGGAGAACUUUUGAGGAUGUAGAGUUGAGCUUUACUCAAUUGAGGAGUAGCCUCCAAUCCCUUAUUUUCUUUUGGUGCACCCAUAGAGUUUCCAAUUGUAUAGAAGAUUGGGUGGAGUUUGUAGAGAAUCAUUUCUUUUAGUAGAUUCUUAAUACUCCUCGCAUACUGUCCGCUUUUUAGCCAUGUUUAUGAAUGAAAAUAUGUUACUUGAUUAAAAAAAUUAAAUAGAGAUCUAUUGAAACCGAGUUGGUUAGUAAGCCCUCCUAAUUUAGAAAUUUCAUAUCUUCUCAUACCCUGCAAUCUAAGCUAUUGGUCUAUGUCCAAGUCUUUUCUCCUAGUCCACUACUAUCUCGUAGGAACCUUCUUUAAAACAUUACUCUAUAGCUGCAUAUGCUGACAUUUGUUAAUCAUCAUUGAUUCAACAAAACACAACCUAAACCGACUUCCUGGAAAAUCUUUUGUACCGUUAGGUAAUGUUAAAAUCUGAACUUUGAAUAAGAUUGAAUUCGGAUCAAGUUAGGAUGAGAAUCGUGUGAAGUCUACUUGUAAGAAUUGGAAUAAUAUCGCAUAAAGUAAAUGAAAGAGUGGAUGUAUAUUGUACAGUCUCUUCAGUUUACGUCUUUUCAAAGAAGCUACUUCCAGUCUCAUCACAGAAAUGCAAGGGAAGACAGCUAUAGUAUAUAUUAUACAACUCUCUCUCGCCAUACUCUUUGCCACUUCUGUGCAUGGGGUAAGCGUUUACCAAAUAAACAACAGUUCCCGGUCAUUGCCGUCUUUCUCUUUGACUUUAACUUUCAUAAAAAUAAAAACCUCCAAGUUAGCAGGGUCCGGGGAAGGGCUGCAACCCAAGGGGUGUGAUGAAACAGUCUAACCUAAUGCAAUUAUUGGCUGCUUUCACUGUUCGAACCCGUAACCUAUAUAGGUCACACGGACUCAACUUUACUGUACCUCCAAAGUGAGCUAAUAAAUUAAGACAUCAGUUAUGAAGCCCCUACAGAUUAAUAU